CCACUGGACCACCAGGGGUCCCCACAGCCUUUUGUAGUGUUGUACAAAACAGCUCCCUUUAGGGUUCCUUUCUCUGGCCUCCUGGUGUCUGGCUGGGUGUGCUUGGAGAGCACAAACCCAUGCCCUUGUUUGUGGUUUCCUUCAGCUUUGCCCCAGGUUCCCACAGACCGAGGGCACCACUCAGUCACCCCUGGCCCUUCAGUGCACUUGCAGAACUCACAGGUACCUUGGUGGAGCAAGAGCUUGUCAUGUUUGCUUCCCUUCCCUUGCCCAGAGAAUUCACCCAACCAAAGCCAACAGGAGUUUUCCCUGCAGGGAAGGCCAGAGCUGCCACCAAGGAGGGAAGCAGAGCCCCGUGGCUGUGGGAAGGACUGACCCUUUGCAGGCUGACAACAUGGAAGGACCCUCCCCAGCUGGGCAAGCUUUGUGCAGCCCUGGUUUCUGUUGCACUCGGGGCA
rnacentral:lncRNA from 1 species